rnacentral:rRNA from 1 species
UGAGGAAUAUUGGACAAUGGGGGCAACCCUGAUCCAGCGACGCCGCGUGGGUGAAGAAGGCCUGCGGGUUGUAAAGCCCUUUCGGUGGGGAAGCGUUACCCACAGAAGAAGCACCGGCUAACUCUGUGUCAGCAGCCGCGGUAAAACCGGUUACUCCUACGG